ensembl:miRNA MIR1296 microRNA 1296
UGAAAUCAGCGAAUAACCUACCUAACUGGAUUAGGGCCCUGGCUCCAUCUCCUUUAGGAAAACCUUCUGUGGGGAGUGGGGCUUUGACCCUAACCCAGCUGGGCUGUAACACUGCUGCAUUUUCU